rnacentral:rRNA from 1 species
GUUAGGAAUAUUGGACAAUGGGCGCAAGCCUGAUCCAGCCAUGCCGCGUGAGUGAUGAAGGCCUUCGGGUUGUAAAGCUCUUUAGCCGAUGAUUAUAAUGACUGUAGUCGGAAAAUAAGCCCCGGCUAACUUCGUGCCAGCAGCCGCGGUAAUACGAAGGGGGCGAGCGUUAUUCGGAAUCACUGGGCGUAAAGCGUGCGUAGGCGGCUUUGCAAGUUGGGAGUGAAAGCCCAGGGCUCAACCCUGGAAUUGCUCUCAAAACUGCAAGGCUAGAAUUCGGGAGAGGAUAGCGGAAUUGUCAGUGUAGCAGUGAAAUGCGUAGAUAUUGACAGGAACACCAGUGGCGUAAGCGGCUAUCUGGACCGAUAUUGACGCUGAGGCACGAAAGCGUGGGGAUCAAACAGGAUUAGAAACCCUAGUAGUCC